rnacentral:rRNA from 1 species
AGAGUUCGAUCAUGGCUCAGGACGAACGCUGGCGGCGUGCCUAAUACAUGCAAGUCGAGCGAAGCAUUUUGAAAGCUUGCUUUUAGAAUGACUGAGCGGCGGACGGGUGAGUAACGCGUGAGCAACCUGGCCUGUACAGGGGGAUAACAGCUGGAAACGGCUGCUAAUACCGCAUAAGACCACGGCACCGCAUGGUGCAGAGGUCAAAGAUUUAUCGGUACAGGAUGGGCUCGCGUCCCAUUAGCUAGUUGGCAGGAUAAAAGCCUACCAAGGCAACGAUGGGUAGCCGACCUGAGAGGGUGAUCGGCCACACUGGAACUGAGACACGGUCCAG